ACGCUAGCUACAGGCUUAACACAUGCAAGUCGAGGGGAAACGGCAUUGAGUGCUUGCACUCUUUGGACGUCGACCGGCGCACGGGUGAGUAACGCGUAUCCAACCUUCCCAUUACUGUGGGAUAACCUGCCGAAAGGCAGACUAAUACCGCAUAGUCUUCGAUGACGGCAUCAGAUUUGAAGUAAAGAUUUAUCGGUAAUGGAUGGGGAUGCGUCUGAUUAGCUUGUUGGCGGAGUAACGGCCCACCAAGGCGACGAUCAGUAGGGGUUCUGAGAGGAAGGUCCCCCACAUUGGAACUGAGACACGGUCCAAACUCCUACGGGAGGCAGCAGUGAGGAAUAUUGGUCAAUGGACGGAAGUCUGAACCAGCCAAGUAGCGUGCAGGAUGACGGCCCUAUGGGUUGUAAACUGCUUUUGUAUGGGGAUAAAGUUAGGGACGUGUCCCUAUUUGCAGGUACCAUACGAAUAAGGACCGGCUAAUUCCGUGCCAGCAGCCGCGGUAAUACGGAAGGUCCAGGCGUUAUCCGGAUUUAUUGGGUUUAAAGGGAGCGUAGGCUGGAGAUUAAGUGUGUUGUGAAAUGUAGACGCUCAACGUCUGAAUUGCAGCGCAUACUGGUUUCCUUGAGUACGCACAACGUUGGCGGAAUUCGUCGUGUAGCGGUGAAAUGCUUAGAUAUGACGAAGAACUCCGAUUGCGAAGGCAGCUGACGGGAGCGCAACUGACGCUUAAGCUCGAAGGUGCGGGUAUCAAACAGGAUUAGAUACCCUGGUAGUCCGCACAGUAAACGAUGGAUGCCCGCUGUUGGUACCUGGUAUCAGCGGCUAAGCGAAAGCAUUAAGCAUCCCACCUGGGGAGUACGCCGGCAACGGUGAAACUCAAAGGAAUUGACGGGGGCCCGCACAAGCGGAGGAACAUGUGG
rnacentral:rRNA from 1 species